CAACUCAUGAGAAAAAAUUUGAUAUGACUUAGUAAUGAAAUGCAUGUAAAGGGUGAGAAGGCUGAAAGUGACUGAGGUUUCAAGCCUGGAAAAGGAGAGUGGCCUUUGAUUUGAUGAAGUGGAGCACAAGAAGCACAACAUGGGGAGAGUGUACUUGAAUCAUCUCUGGUUCUGGAAAUGUUGCUGAUACUCCGUGAAGGAAGAAGAAGGUGAACAUGUUCUUGAUCUGUUCCGCUGUUAUGCAGCCAGGCUUUGAAGAAAAUCUCCAUGCUGACAAUAUCACUGUCUAUAGUCUGAAGAUCAAUGUCAGUUGCCAGGAUAGGACUCUCUGCAGAAGAAAGGGAAACAGUAGUUAGUGUUUAAUUCUUUAGUUACAAAUUUUGAAAAAUAUAAAAUAUUAAAAGCACCCAUUUUUGAACCUAUCAAUUCUACCUCUAGAUAUAGCCUAGAGACAUUCUUGGAUAGUACCUAAAGAGACAUAUGCAAAGAUAUUCAGCACAGCAUUGUUGCAAAAACAAAUAAUCAAAGCCUCAAACAGGAAGCAAUUCAAAUGUCCAUCAAUAGGGAAAUAUUUAAAUAAAUUAUGGCAUAGACUAUGGAGUAUUAUACAGCUGUUAAAAAAGUUAAAUGUACUGACAUGGAAAGCUAGGAGACAGUGAAUAAAGAAAGUUCUAGAACA